UUAGGAAUAUUGGACAAUGGGCGCAAGCCUGAUCCAGCCAUGCCGCGUGAGUGAUGAAGGCCUUCGGGUUGUAAAACUCUUUAGCCGAUGAUUAUAAUGACUGUAGUCGGAAAAUAAGCCCCGGCUAACUUCGUGCCAGCAGCCGCGGUAAUACGAAGGGGGCGAGCGUUAUUCGGAACCACUGGGCGUAAAGCGUGCGUAGGCGGUUUAGUAAGUUAGGAGUGAAAGCCCAGGGCUUACUUGGAAUUGCUCUUAAAACUACUAGACUUGAAUCUCGGAGAGGAUAGCGGAAUUUCCAGUGUAGCAGUGAAAUGCGUAGAUAUUGGAGGAACACCAGUGGCUAAGCGGCUAUCUGGACGAGUAUUGACGCUGAGGCACGAAAGCGUGGGGGAUCAAACAGGAUUAGAUACCCUGGUAGUCCACGCCGUAAACGAUGUGUGCUUGUCGCU
rnacentral:rRNA from 1 species